UACGGGGGGGGGCAAGCGUUGUUCGGAAUUACUGGGCGUAAAGGGCUCGUAGGUGGCCAACUAAGUCGGACGUGAAAUCCCUCAGCUUAACUGGGGAACUGCGUCCGAUACUGGAUGGCUUGAGUUUGGGAGAGGGAUGCGGAAUUCCAGGUGUAGCGGUGAAAUGCGUAGAUAUCUGGAGGAACACCGGUGGCGAAGGCGGCAUCCUGGACCAACACCUGACACUGAGGCACGAAAGCUAGGGGAGCAAACAGG
rnacentral:rRNA from 1 species